ACCAGGAUUAGAUACCCUAUUAUAAAAAUUUAAAUUAAUUUACUAAAAAAUUAAUAGUUAAGUUCUUUAAAUUUAAAAAAUUUGGCGGUAUUUUAGUCUUAUUAGAGGAACCUGUUUAUUAAUUGAUAAUCCACGAUUAAUUUUACUUAUUUAAUUAAUUCAUAUAUCGCUGUCAUGAAUAUAUUUAAAAAUUUAUUUUCUUUUUUUAUUUUUAUAAUUUAUGUUAAGUCAAGAUGUGGUUUAUAAAUAAGAAUAUAAUGGGUUACAAUAAAUUUUAUUUUUGGAUUUAAAAUGAAAAUUAAAAUGAAAUUGGAUUUAAUAGUAAGUUUAUUUA
rnacentral:rRNA from 1 species